rnacentral:rRNA from 1 species
GAGUAGAGUGGCGCACGGGUGAGUAAUAAAUAGGAACGUACCUUUUGGUGGGGAAUAACUUCAGGAAACCGAAGCUAAUACCGCAUAAGAACGUAAGUUGAAAGAAGGCCUAUCCUUGGAAGCUUUCGCCGAUAGAUCGGCCUAUUUCCCAUUAGCUAGUUGGUAGGGUAAAGGCCUACCAAGGCUACGAUGGGUAGCUGGUCUGAGAGGAUGAUCAGCCACACUGGAACUGAGACACGGUCCAGACUCC